rnacentral:lncRNA from 10 species
ACACAACUUAGUACUUUUUUUUGAGACAGAGUCUUGCUCCAUUGCCUAGGCUGGAGUGCAGUGGUGUGAUCAUGGCUGACUGCAAGCUCCACCUCCUGGGUUCACGCCAUUCUCCUGCCUCAGCCUCCCGAGUAGCUGGGAUUACAAGUGCCCGACACCACGCCCAGCCAAUUUUUUGUAUUUUUAGUAGAGAUAGGGGCUCAAGCUCUUCCUCACAUGAUAGAGAACUACUUUGAGGAGGCUGUGGGAAUCACAUGUCUGUUGCUAACUUGAGUUCAGCCUUCUCUGUACUUACUUAUUCUCUUGACCUUGGGCUGUGCUGUCAAUUUUUUCUUUUCUGAGGGUUUUUUGAAAUGAACAUAAAAGGAAAUCCUUUCAAGACUGUUCAGAUCCUUGCUAUGCAAAAAUUGCAUUUGAAAGAGGUCUUAGAUAUGAUCUAAUGCAAUUCCCAAACUUUAUGUGGAAUUCU